GGUUCACGAGCGGGUAUGACGGUGGCUCUGUCUAAGCUGAACCGGCCUUGGCCUUCAUUUCCUUCUAGCUCAUGCCCAGCCUGGCUGCCUGCUGCGCCACCACUGGAGAGGGGCACUGGAGGGCAGAACUGAGAAUUUUUUUUGGCUGUGAUGCUACUGAAUCAAAAAUGAAUUUGGAGAGAAAGUCUUCAUUGAUUUGUUCCGAAUCCAAUUAUUUGGUUCAAACUGGAAGCUGAGUCACGUGUAAGGGAGAGUCCCAUGUCUAACUCGAGAGAAAGGUGAAGCUUCUGUGAUCCAGUGCCAUCAGAAGCAAAGGAAGAGCCUUGGCAAGGAGGUGACAGCAUCGUUCAGCCUUUCAGGAGGGGAGCCAGCAAAAAUGGGGUGAUUGUGGUUGAUUUAAGGGGUAAAAGUUGAGAGGCAGAGGACAACCAAGGUUGAAAGGGCUUCUCUGAGAGGCCCUUUUGUUCCUGGGCAAGACGUCGCUACCGCUGGGUUCAAGGGGAGAGGGAAGGAUGAUGGAUUGCCAAUGAACCUACGAAGAAUGAGGCAAAGCAGCAUGAAACCAUUUGUUUGGGCUUUAUAGAUUUUCUAAUAAAAACGUCAAGUUUUUUUCACA